ACUCCUACGGGAGGCAGCAGUGGGGAAUAUUGGACAAUGGGCGCAAGCCUGAUCCAGCCAUGCCGCGUGAGUGAUGAAGGCCCUAGGGUUGUAAAGCUCUUUUAACGGGGAAGAUAAUGACGGUACCCGUAGAAUAAGCCCCGGCUAACUUCGUGCCAGCAGCCGCGGUAAU
rnacentral:rRNA from 1 species